GGGAUUGUAGUUCAAUUGGUUAGAGCAACGCCCUGUCAAGGCGGAAGUUGCGAGUUCAAUCCUUGUUAGUCCCG